GAAAAUUCCAGACUUAUCCAGACUGUGCUUAUAAUGUAUUUGUAUUGUAGGUUCAUGUAGUGUUUUUUUUAGGAGGUUUUGAGGAAGGGGUAAAAUCCCCAACGAACAGAGUAUGUGUGAUACAAUGUUUGUAUGGUAUUGUGAUAAUACACGUUUCGUUACAGGUAGUGUAGAACACUAGAAAUCGUGUUCUGUUUAUUGUAGUGAAGAUUUAUGAUGUAGAUAUUAUAUGCCUACCUGUGUAGGGUGUGAGAGAUGCCCGGUUCCUGUAAAUGUUAGUCCCAUAGAUUGAACUGUGUUAGUACUGUGACUAUGACGAUGAUUGAGGUGGAUGUAUAGUGCAUAAUAAUGUAACGCUCAACCAUUCCAUUGUUUAUUUGUAUUCUCCAGCACCGAAAUCUCAGGCAGGUUAUAUCGACAGGUUAUUUUUCUUUUAUUAGAACACCGUUUUUCAUGGAGAAUUAUCAAUAUUUAUUUUUUUUUUUCCGAUUUUUCUUUUUUUUGUUUGUUGCUUAUAUUGCUUAUUUUGUUCUGUCUUGUAGUUUUUUUUUCUAAGUGCUAGAAUAUGAGCAAUAUGUAUUUAUUACCAAAAAAAAAUAAAGAAAAAAUGCUUACCAAUUGAUAAAAAUGAUAGAAUUGUUUGAUUAAUGGAUGAGAACACAUUACAAAAAGAUAUUUAUUAUAGAUUAGUUAGUCUUCUUGCGGAAGAUUAUUUAUUUGAAGGUGUCAAUUGUUGUUUAUUUGAAAUGUUCAAAAAAAUAAAAAAAAGAACUU
rnacentral:sRNA from 1 species